GGGGGCGACGCCCUUUCCGGCUGCACCCCGUUUCCCGGGACGAGAGGCUCUCCGCACUGGACCCCGGUCCCGAUGCACGGCCACCGCGCGUCCGGACCGGG